GGCAAUCCCAUUCUCACAGAAUGCUGGUUGACUGCUGUGAGGGAAAACAGAAAAGGGGAUUGGAUGGGCCAUAUGGGAUGGAAAAUGGCAUGGCUGGCUGGCAAGAACCCUGAACAGGAGUAGUCCACACUGCAGUGUUUUGUUGCAGACCUGAUAUAGGGUCUUAUCCAGUUCCUUCAUAUCUGUCCUAGUCUUCUUCUGAUGUCUUGACUGCAGCUUUCAUUCUGAAUAAUGACUGAACCAAGAAUGGGGACUCAUCUGAUCUUGGAAGCUAAGAAGGGUCACUUGGAUGGGAGAC